rnacentral:RNase_P_RNA from 1 species
UCAGUUACAAUCUAGCAUCUGGGGCACACACAACGAGUAUCUGAUUACUCUUAUGAUUGCCCCGGGAAGGUCUGAGAUUUGGUCAAAGCUCCCUUGUUGCCGUAACAACGCUCAAAAGCUGAAAGGUGAUUGUGUGUCGUGGAGCUUCAUUUCCUAGCAGGAAACUUGUGUAAUCACAAGGCGAAAGUACCAGAAAUGCUGCAGCAUGGCUGUUGCCGCAUAACCUGCCGCCGGCCAUGUUGCAUUGAAAGCUUUCGUGGCCAGCAAUUUUAGUGCGAUGUGCUUGCUGCAAACCUCAACUCUGAGGUGCGUAGAACUCAAUUCAGACUAAUCUGUGACUGA